rnacentral:rRNA from 1 species
GAUGAACGCUAGCGGCAGGCCUAAUACAUGCAAGUCGGACGGGAUUCAGGAGCUUGCUUCUGAUGAGAGUGGCGCACGGGUGCGUAACACGUAUGUAACCUACCUUUAUCAGGGGGAUAGCCUCUCGAAAGAGAGAUUAAGCCCGCAUAAAAUCACAGCACAGCAUUGUGUAAUGAUCAAAUAUUUAUAGGAUAAAGAUGGGCAUGCGGAACAUUAGCUAGAUGGCGGGGUAACGGCCCACCAUGGCGACGAUGUUUAGGGGAUCUGAGAGGAUGGCCCCCCACACUGGUACUGAGACACGGACCAGACUCCUACGGGAGGCAGCAGUAAGGAAUAUUGGUCAAUGGGCGGAAGCCUGAACCAGCCAUGCCGCGUGCAGGAAGACGGCCCUACGGGUUGUAAACUGCUUUUAUACGGGAAUAAACCCAGAUACGUGUAUCUGGCUGAAUGUACUGUAAGAAUAAGGAUCGGCUAACUCCGCG